UGUUGUGUGAGGAGCGAACCAGCGAGAGCACCGAGACGAAACACGGCCAGUCGUCGGUGCUCUUUCUG
rfam:Scytonema hofmannii PCC 7110 genomic scaffold Scaffold1, whole genome shotgun sequence.